rnacentral:rRNA from 1 species
UGGGGAAUAUUGCGCAAUGGGCGAAAGCCUGACGCAGCGACGCCGCGUGGGUGAUGAAGGCCUUCGGGUCGUAAAGCCCUGUCGGGAGGGACGAAACCUCAGUGGUCUAAUAUGCCACUGACCUGACGGUACCUCUUAAGGAAGCACCGGCUAACUCCGUGCCAGCAGCCGCGGUAAUACGGAGGGUGCAAGCGUUGUUCGGAAUCACUGGGCGUAAAGCGCGUGUAGGCGGUCAUCUAAGUCUGGUGUGAAAGCCCGGGGCUCACCCCCGGAAGUGCACUGGAGACUGAAUGGCUUGAGUACCGGAGAGGAGGGUGGAAUUCCUGGUGUAGCGGUGAAAUGCGUAGAUAUCAGGAGGAACACCGGUGGCGAAGGCGGCCCUCUGGACGGCUACUGACGCUGAGACGCGAAAGCGUGGGGAGCAAACAGG